GCGGAGGAAAAGAAACCAACAGGGAUUGCCUCAGUAGCGGCGAGUGAAGCGGCAAAAGCUCAAAUUUGAAAUCUGGCGUCUUUGGCGUCCGAGUUGUAAUUUGAAGAAGGUAUCUUUGGGCCCGGCUCUUGUCUAUGUUCCUUGGAACAGGACGUCACAGAGGGUGAGAAUCCCGUGCGAUGAGAUGACCCGGGUCUGUGUAAAGUUCCUUCGACGAGUCGAGUUGUUUGGGAAUGCAGCUCUAAGUGGGUGGUAAAUUCCAUCUAAAGCUAAAUAUUGGCGAGAGACCGAUAGCGAACAAGUACAGUGAUGGAAAGAUGAAAAGAACUUUGAAAAGAGAGUGAAAAAGUACGUGAAAUUGUUGAAAGGGAAGGGCUUGAGAUCAGACUUGGUAUUUUGCAUGCUGCUCUCUCGGGGGCGGCCGCUGCGGUUUACCGGGCCAGCAUCGGUUUGGAGCGGCAGGAUAAUGGCGGAGGAAUGUGGCACGGCUUCUGCUGUGUGUUAUAGCCUCUGACGAUGCUGCCAGCCUAGACCGAGGACUGCGGUUUUUAACCUAGGAUGUUGGCAUAAUGAUCUUAAGUCGCCCGUCUUG
rnacentral:rRNA from 1 species